UCGUAGCGCGGUGGUCCCACCUGACCCCAUGCCGAACUCAGAAGUGAAACGACCGUAGCGCCGAUGGUAGUGUGGGGUCUCCCCAUGCGAGAGUAGGGAACUGCCAGGCA
rnacentral:rRNA from 1 species